UGCUGUGCGAACCCCUUUGGGGUUGCCCUCGACCAAGCUUCUGCAACCAAAAGUCCUGAGGAGGGCACAGGGUUGAUGGGAUGGAUACUGAGGCCCUGGCCUCUGGACGCUGAAGUUGGAGUUCCUCUGAGGAGUGUUUGGGAGAAAUAAGGACCAGGAGCCAAGCAUCUCCUUCAGCAUGUGGAGUGAUUUGCAGCUUUGGGAACCCAGGAAUGAUUUGGCAGUGGGGGCAGCCUCCCUGAAGUAGCCAGAAGCAAUGAAUACUGACGAGAAGAGUGGAGGAUAGCACUAGCAGGAGACCUGCCCACCACCAUGCGGUAUCUCCAAGACUGUAUUUGAGAGAGUCCAAGGGGUGCUGGGUUUGCCCAAGACUCAAAUCCUGUAGGAGAAGAUGGAGGCAAAGAACCAGCAAAGUGGGAAGAAAGGGAAGCUCAACAGCGGAGGGAUGAGGUUUGAAUGUAGGAGGCCCGGAACAUUUGGGAGACAAUCAGAAAAUUAACAUGUCUUUAGCAACUUCACUAAAUGAAAAUCACAAAA